AGGGACAGAACUUAGUGAUAAAGAGCUCCGGCUCUCGAAUGGACGGCCUGGCCCAAUCCCAGCCAUCCUGAGAGGCAGUGCCGGCAUCUGACUGCAAGACCCUUAAUGCCCCAGACCAUCAGACAAAGUGGACAAGGUGGACGAUGCCCUAGAAAUAAUCUGCUCAGGUGAUUUUCAAAUAUUUUAAAGUCAUGGAGAGUGUUUGGUAGAAAUGAAAUGAACCUAUGAAAUAGAUUUAAGAGGAGCAUCUCUGGAG
rnacentral:lncRNA from 9 species